CUGCAGUUCUCUUCUGUGUAGGUUGGCUGCAGUCCCUGUGCAGAAAACUCCAGUCCAGGACUUGUUAAAGGCAGCAUGACACCACCCCAUGGCGGCGAGAGAGCUGCUGUGUCUUUAAGCGAGGAGGCCGAGGUCCUGGGCAGAGGCUUCCACGGGCCAGAAGCUAUUGUCAUAUGCAACACAGCGAGACAGUUACGAACACAGAACCUGAAGCCAGAUCAUUUGGUGCAGCCAGCUUUACCACUCACUGGCUGUGUGACUUUCAGCAAGUUAUUAACCUCUCUGUGCUCUCAACUAUAAAAAUGGGCAUAGUAAUAAUACCGAAGUCUUAGGAUUAUGAGGACGAAAUGAAUUAGCAGAUGUAAGUACUGUACAGUAAUUGUUAUAUAACCACUAGCUGUGUAAAAAAUAAAUUAUCACAGUUCAUCCA